UACGUAGGGUGCAAGCGUUAAUCGGAAUUACUGGGCGUAAAGCGUGCGCAGGCGGUUAUGUAAGACAGAUGUGAAAUGCCCGGGCUUAACCUGGGAACUGCAUUUGUGACUGCAUGGCUAGAGUUUGGCAGAGGGGGGGUAGAAUUCCACGUGUAGCAGUGAAAUGCGUAGAUAUGUGGAGGAACACCGAUGGCGAAGGCAGCCCCCCUGGGUCAAGACUGACGCUCAUGCACGAA
rnacentral:rRNA from 1 species